AACGAACGCUGGCGGCAGGCCUAACACAUGCAAGUCGAGCGGACCUUUCGGGUUCAGCGGCGGACGGGUGAGUAACGCGUGGGAAUAUGCCCUUCUCUACGGAAUAGUCCUGGGAAACUGGGGGUAAUACCGUAUACGCCCUUUGGGGGAAAGAUUUAUCGGGGAAGGAUUAGCCCGCGUUGGAUUAGGUAGUUGGUGGGGUAAUGGCCUACCAAGCCGACGAUCCAUAGCUGGUUUGAGAGGAUGAUCAGCCACACUGGGACUGAGACACGGCCCAGACUCCUACGGGAGGCAGCAGUGGGGAAUCUUAGACAAUGGGGGCAAGCCUGAUCUAGCCAUGCCGCGUGAGUGAUGAAGGCCUUAGGGUUGUAAAGCUCUUUCAGCUGGGAAGAUAAUGACGGUACCAGCAGAAGAAGCCCCGGCUAACUCCGUG
rnacentral:rRNA from 1 species